AGACAUGUAAGCUUGAGUUCGAGUCCAAAGAAAAAAAUACAUGAAAUUUGUCUUACAUGAAUGGCUAAACAUGACUUUAUUCACAAUAUCAAACAUGCAAAUGCUAUGAAAUUGUAGAGUAAACUAGUUCUUCACUGCAAAGUAAAACUGAAAAAAUAGAGAUCCAACCAGUCGACGACGCCAUAAAACAGAAAGCUCAAACGAUGAUAAGCAUAAUCAAGUAUCAACCACCUAUCAUUGAGGCAAAGAAUGAAUAAGAAUUUAAACAAGAAACUUGAUUAAGGAAAUCAUAACUACAUGGACAGAGGCAGAUUCAAGAUUUUUGUUGGGAAGUGUUCACUUAUAAUAUAUAAAAUACUGACGAUAGAUUUAUCAAUAUUAUCCAUGAAAAUAGUGUUUAAAAGAAAAUUUUGAAUGUUUAUGGAAAAUUUUCUUUUAAAAUUUCUUAUUUUCUAAUUUUUAGGAGUGUCCAAAAAAUGAUUUUGAGGGUAUGCAACACAAAAUUUUUCUUUAAAUUUUUUUGAUUUUCAAUGUACACCCCACAAUGCCAUGUAAAUCCACCACUAGACAUGGAAAAAAGCCAUAUUUACCUGUUUAGCUAACAAGUUUCUCCUGAAAUUUUCACUUCCU
rnacentral:lncRNA from 1 species